GCGAGAGUGGCGAAAUUGGCAAACGCACUGGACUUAGGAUCCAGCUCCGAUUAUCGGAUUGGGGGUUCGAGUCCCCCCUCUCGCACCA
rnacentral:tRNA from 1 species